rnacentral:miRNA from 1 species
AACAGGUUAUUCGCGGUGCAGU